rnacentral:rRNA from 1 species
UACGGAGGGUGCAAGCAUUGAUCGGAAUUACUGGGCGUAAAGGGCGCGUAGGCGGCUUUAUAAGUCAGAUGUGAAAUUCCGGGGCUCAACCCCGGAGCGGCAUUUGAAACUGUAGAGCUAGAGGACAGUUAGGGAAAACGGAAUUCCACGUGUAGCGGUGAAAUGCGUAGAUAUGUGGAAGAACACCGGUGGUGAAGACGGUUUUCUGGGCUGUAACUGACGCUGAGGCGCGAAAGCUAGGGGAGCAAACAGG